rnacentral:rRNA from 1 species
CAUGGCGGGCUGCCUUACACAUGCAAGUCGAACGGCAGCACGGGGGCAACCCUGGUGGCGAGUGGCGAACGGGUGAGUAAUACAUCGGAACGUGUCCUGGAGUGGGGGAUAGCCCGGCGAAAGCCGGAUUAAUACCGCAUACGCUCUGUGGAGGAAAGCGGGGGAUCUUUCGGGACCUCGCGCUCAAGGGGCGGCCGAUGGCAGAUUAGGUAGUUGGUGGGGUAAAGGCCUACCAAGCCGACGAUCUGUAGCUGGUCUGAGAGGACGACCAGCCACACUGGGACUGAGACACGGCCCAGA